GUUUCCUGUCGGCACGGCAACCGUCACCCUCGGAGGCAGAGACACGACAUGUGAGAGAUGUGAUGCUUUCUUCGCUUCACACCUCGUCCCAUCUCUCCGUCUCCGUCUCUCACCAGCUCGCUUUAGAUCUGAUUUUCACCUUCUAAACGGUAAAAAAAAUAUCUAAAGAUGAUCACAGAGAUGCAAGAGUGCAAGACUCAACCACCCAAAAAACACAGCAACUGUAUAUUUGAUGUCCACUAAAGGACCCUUAUGUAAUACAAGAAUCCAA
ensembl:lncRNA